rnacentral:rRNA from 1 species
UACGUAGGGUGCGAGCGUUAAUCGGAAUUACUGGGCGUAAAGCGUGCGUAGGCGGUUCGUUAAGUGCGUCGUGAAAGCCCCGGGCUCAACCUGGGAAUGGCGAUGGAAACUGGCGGGCUGGAGUAUGGCAGAGGGGGGUGGAAUUCCGCGUGUAGCAGUGAAAUGCGUAGAGAUGCGGAGGAACACCGAUGGCGAAGGCAGCCCCCUGGGCCAAUACUGACGCUCAGGCACGAAAGCGUGGGGAGCAAACAGGAUUAGA